AGUGAACGCUGGCGGUAGGCCUAACGCAUGCAAGUCGAACGGCAGCACAGUAAGAGCUUGCUCUUACGGGUGGCGAGUGGCGGACGGGUGAGGAAUACAUCGGAAUCUACUUUUUCGUGGGGGAUAACGUAGGGAAACUUACGCUAAUACCGCAUACGACCUACGGGUGAAAGCAGGGGAUCUUCGGACCUUGCGCGAUUGAAUGAGCCGAUGUCGGAUUAGCUAGUUGGCGGGGUAAAGGCCCACCAAGGCGACGAUCCGUAGCUGGUCUGAGAGGAUGAUCAGCCACACUGGAACUGAGACACGGUCCAGACUCCUACGGGAGGCAGCAGUGGGGAAUAUUGGACAAAGGGCGCAAGCCUGAUCCGGCCAUACCGCGUGGGUGAAGAAGGCCUUCGGGUUGUAAAGCCCUUUUGUUGGGAAAGAAAAGCAGCAGGUUAAUACCCCGCUGUUCUGACGGUACCCAAAGAAUAAGCACCGGCUAACUUCGUG
rnacentral:rRNA from 1 species